rnacentral:tRNA from 1 species
UCCCCACUAGCUCAGUCGAUAGAGCAUGAGACUCUUAAUCUCAGUGUCGUGGGUUAGAGCCCCACAUUGGGCG